AAAAAGUCAACAGAAACCACAACAACCCUGUUAAGGCAGGACUGAGAGCCCAGACUCGUUAGGAAUGAAGGUUUGGGUCACCCCACCUGGCAAGGAACCAUGACCGGCUCAGCAGUGAUGAAGCAACUGCCAUUGUGGAGAGGCCCAUGGGGCCAGGAGCUGAGGAGCUGAGGUCCUCCAGUCCAACAGUCUGCAGGGAGCUGAAUUCUGCCAGAACCAUGUGAGUUAGGAAGCAGAUCCUUCCCCGGUGGUGCUUUCAGGCUCUGAGGACCGGCGGCUGAGAUUAAACAACUUAUUACACAAAGAACCAUUUAAUUGCAAGCACAAUCACGCUUAGUGGAGAAGGAGAGAACGGAGCACGGUUUAAGAUGAUCUCCUCACCAGUUCUGCAAGCUGGGGAAACUGAGGCCCAGAAAAGAGACAUUCCCAGUGUCACGCAGUGCUGGGUUCCAGCUGGGCAGUGCUGGAAUCAAACCCCGGUCAACAGGGAGAGUCAGCUGCAGUUUGUCAGUGGAACAGCCUGAGC
rnacentral:lncRNA from 10 species